UUAAGUUCAAGAUGGGGAGGGGUUGGGGUGAGGGCUGGCCUGUCUGAGGAGGGGCAUUUGCAGUGCUGGAGCAAGCCAUGGAGGACAGGAAUUGCUCCAGUCAGAGGAACAGCAAGGACAAGGGGCCCAAGACGGCAUGUACUAGAGGCUCCACGCAUAGAAAAAGCCAGCCAUCCCCAGCGCUGUAACUGAGUGGCCAGUGGUGGGAGAAUUGGGACAUUGGCUUUUUCCUGCCUCUACACUACAACUACACCAUCAAGCCUUCAGACAUGGAAAGGAACCACACUAUUGGCUCUCCUCGGUCUUCAGCUUGCCAACUCAAUGCAGAUCUUUGCAUUUGUCAGCCUUAUAACCAUGUGAGCUAAUUCCCUAAAAUAAAUGUCCU
rnacentral:lncRNA from 1 species